CUGUCUCUUUCCACUGCUGGUCCUCCUUUCCACUCCAGUCCUCUGGAUAUCGAGGUGCUGGGGAAGUUCUGGCUUUGGAGUCAUUCAGACCAGGAAGAAUGGGAGCCAGGUCACCUCCAUCUAUGAUCCCAGCGCCCAGCAUAUAUGAAGUUGUUAGUGAACAAUUCCUGAAUGAUUGAAUGAUUAAAUGAGUGCAGAACAGCAA